rnacentral:ncRNA from 2 species
AGCGUCUUUUCCACUUCGGAUACCUUAGGGUGUAAAAGGGAAUCCCGUGCAAAUCGGGAGCGGACCCGCCGCCGUAAGUUUCAAAAAAAGCCAUGCUCCACGCUGUCCACUGGGAUCGGUUCCGGGAAGGACGAGAAUGGUGAAACGAGCCGGAAGACCUGUCCGAGGUCCAGUCACAAG